GUCUACGGCCAUACCACCCUGAAAGUGCCCAAUCUCGUCUGAUCUCGGAAGCAAAGCAGGUCGGGCCUGGUUAGUACUUGGAUGGGAGACCACCUGGGAAUACCGGGUGCCGUAGGCU
rnacentral:rRNA from 1 species